UUUAAACCUCAUUUUCUCACUUCCUCUCGAACCCUUCUCACUUUCCCACUUUCACUCGUACCAGUAGCUUUUUCCGGCGCCGCCACCGUCGACGGCAUUAUUAUUUCAGAUCGUUGUUAAAGUUCAGCUUUUGGGUUUCAGCUUCGCAUCUCCAUUUUCUUUCGAAUGGCGAUUGACAAAAUCUUCAAAGAUGAAGCCACUGAAGAAAAGGGAGAGCGCGCUAGGAUGGUAAGUCUCAUUCCUCAGCAAAUACC